rnacentral:rRNA from 1 species
CCUAGUAACGGCGAGUGAACAGGCAAGAGCUCAGAUUUGAAAGCCUUUUUGGCAUUGUAUUCUGAAGUCAGUUUCCUGAGUAUCGGUGUUUAAGUCUUCUGGAAAGGAGCGCCAUGGAGGGUGAUAGCCCCGUACGACACCUCACUCAUUGUAGGAUUCUGACGUGGAGUCGAGUUGUUUGGGAAUGCAGCUCAAAAGGGUGGUAUGCUCCAUCUAAAGCUAAAUAUCUGUGAGAGACCGAUAGCGAACAAGUACUGUGAAGGAAAGAUGAAAAGAACUUUGAAAAGAGAGUGAAAAAGUACGUGAAAUUGUUGAAAUGGAAGGAUAUGCCGCUAACAAUGUAGAGCCGUGUUUGGGGGGAAGACAAAAGCUGAAGAAUGUAUCUCUUUUAGGGAAUUAUAACUUCAGUCAAUAUUCCCAUCCGGGCGCGAGGACCUCAGGC